AGACUGAACAGGGAUGGAGAGUGAGCUGGUGAGGUAGACUGAACAGGGAUGGAGAGUGAGCUGGUGAGGUAGACUGAACAGGGAUGGAGAGUGAGGUAGACUGAACAGGGAUGGAGAGUGAGAUGGUGAGGUAGACUGAACAGGGAUGGAGAGUGAGGUAGACUGAACAGGGAUGGAGAGUGAGGUAGACUGAACAGGGAUGGAGAGUGAGGUAGACUGAACAGGGAUGGAGAGUGAGGUAGACUGAACAGGGAUGGAGAGUGAGCUGGUGAGGUAGACUGAACAGGGAUGGAGAGUGAGCUGGUGAGGUAGACUGAACAGGGAUGGAGAGUGAGCUGGUGAGGUAGACUGAACAGGGAUGGAGAGGGAGCUGGUGAGGUAGACUGAACAGGGAUGGAGAGGGAGCUGGUGAGGUAGGCUGAACAGGGAUGGAGAGUGAGCUGGUGAGGUAGGCUGCAGUGGGUUUGCUGGUCAAUACAUAUACUGAACAUGUAACCACAGUAAUGGUGGCCAGUAUAUCAAUGAAUACAAAUUUAAUAUUGAA
ensembl:lncRNA